GAUGAACGCUGGCGGCGUGCCUAAUACAUGCAAGUCGAGCGAACAGACGAGGAGCUUGCUCCUCUGACGUUAGCGGCGGACGGGUGAGUAACACGUGGAUAACCUACCUAUAAGACUGGGAUAACUUCGGGAAACCGGAGCUAAUACCGGAUAAUAUAUUGAACCGCAUGGUUCAAUAGUGAAAGACGGUUUUGCUGUCACUUAUAGAUGGAUCCGCGCCGCAUUAGCUAGUUGGUAAGGUAACAGCUUACCAAGGCAACGAUGCGUAGCCGACCUGAGAGGGUGAUCGGCCACACUGGAACUGAGACACGGUCCAGACUCCUACGGGAGGCAGCAGUAGGGAAUCUUCCGCAAUGGGCGAAAGCCUGACGGAGUAACGCCGCGUGAGUGAUGAAGGUCUUCGGAUCGUAAAACUCUGUUAUUAGGGAAGAACAAAUGUGUAAGUAACUAUGCACGUCUUGACGGUACCUAAUCAGAAAGCCACGGCUAACUACGUG
rnacentral:rRNA from 1 species